rnacentral:sRNA from 1 species
CAGGAUUCACCUUGCUGGUGUUGGAUUUGCGUAUAUGUGUCCCCAUGUCCGUCUUUUUAACAUGGAUAGUGGAGAUGGAAGGAACUCUGGUUGUCACGUCUGCAGAGCAAGCACCUGACCGACUAAACCACUGCCCAGCUCUCCAGCAAACACCCUUAAACACAUUGGUGUCAGCCUGGCAGCACGGGGGAGCCCAGAUCGGGAGGAAAACACGGGACUCAGAGAAGCGGUUUGGAGAAAGAACAUCACAUAAGCAUCAGAGGGCCACAGAGAAUGACAUUUCAGCCAAUCACAGGCCGAAGGUCUCACAGGUACCUUGUUAUUCCACGGAUCGAAGACUCUGUCUUCUGGGGAAACAGAUCUGAGUUCCAGCUCAGCUGACCCACUGCUUGAC